UACGUAGGGUGCGAGCGUCAAUCGGAAUUACUGGGCGUAAAGCGUGCGCAGGCGGUUUUGUAAGCCAGAUGUGAAAUCCCCGGGCUCAACCUGGGAAUGGCAUUUGGGACUGCAAGGCUUGAGUGCGGCAGAGGAGACUGGAAUUCCUGGUGUAGCAGUGAAAUGCGUAGAUAUCAGGAGGAAUACCGAUGGCGAAGGCAGGUCUCUGGGCUGACACUGACGCUCAUGCACGAAAGCGUGGGGAGCAAACAGG
rnacentral:rRNA from 1 species